AUACCUUUCUCGGCCUUUUGGCUAAGAUCAAGUGUAGUAUCUGUUCUUAUCAGUUUAAUAUCUGAUAUGUGGACCAUGUGUCCACUUUGAUAUUAAAUUUAUUUUUUGUGGGGGGAGGGCUCGUAAUAGUGGCUUGCCACUAGAACCCUUGAGCGUCGCUUAGGUGUUGCACUAUUUUCUAAGCUUGGCGCGCCCCAA
rnacentral:snRNA from 1 species